rnacentral:lncRNA from 11 species
UUUGAACAGAGUUAUAUGGCAGUGUAGAUCCAGCCUGAGUUGCUUUUGGUUCUCUUUGCAGGAUGCAAGUGAAGACUCCAUACCCUCCGACUGUUGAAAUAAGAAACCUAGCCAAUGAUUCAUUGGAGAUCCAUUUAAUGGUGGUGUUUGGCAUCCAUUUCAAAUUUUCCUCUGAAAUGUUGAGCAACUCAGUUGAGAUUCAAGUAGCAAAGAACUUCUCAGUUUCCCUCUUCAAGACCAGUCAAGGCUUCAAGUUUAAGAGCUGCAGUUCUUGCAAAGGAUUCCUGAUUGUUCAAACCCUGGACAAGUAAAUAUGGUUGUUGUUGUUGUUGUUGAAUCAUCAACAUUCAUGACCCAAGAACUCUGACAAAUCUGGUUUAAAAAUGCAAUUUGUGGUCAGGAAGGAAAUACAGAUUGUAUAUCCCUUAAAUGAAAUGGUUGGACUCAGAAGUGUUUUGG